UACGGAGGGGACUAGCGUUGUUCGGAAUUACUGGGCGUAAAGCGCGCGUAGGCGGAUUUGCAAGUCGGGGGUGAAAUCCCGAGGCUCAACCUCGGAACUGCCUUCGAUACUGCAAAUCUCGAGUCCGGAAGAGGUGAGUGGAAUUCCUAGUGUAGAGGUGAAAUUCGUAGAUAUUAGGAAGAACACCAGUGGCGAAGGCGGCUCACUGGUCCGGUACUGACGCUGAGGCGCGAAAGCGUGGGGAGCAAAC
rnacentral:rRNA from 1 species